rnacentral:rRNA from 1 species
UACGUAGGGCGCAAGCGUUGUCCGGAAUUAUUGGGCGUAAAGAGCUCGUAGGCGGCUUGUCACGUCGGGUGUGAAAGCCCGGGGCUUAACCCCGGGUCUGCAUUCGAUACGGGCUAGCUAGAGUGUGGUAGGGGAGAUCGAAUUCCUGGUGUAGCGGUGAAAUGCGCAGAUAUCAGGAGGAACACCGGUGGCGAAGGCGGAUCUCUGGGCCAUUACUGACGCUGAGGAGCGAAAGCGUGGGGAGCGAACAGGG